UAGCGUAGGGGGCUAGCGUUGUCCGGAAUCAUUGGGCGUAAAGGGCGCGUAGGCGGCUCGGCACGUCCGUUGUGAAAUCGCCCGGCUCAACUGGGCGGGGUCAGCGGAUUAACGGUCGAGCUUGAGCAAGCUAGGGGGCAAUGGAAUUCCCGGUGUAGUGGUGGAAUGCGUAGAUAUCGGGAGGAACACCAGUGGCGAAGGCGGUUGCCUGGGGCUUUGCUGACGCUGAUGCGCGAAAGCGUGGGGAGCGAGUCCGG
rnacentral:rRNA from 1 species